rnacentral:rRNA from 1 species
CCUACGGGAGGCAGCAGUGGGGAAUUUUGGACAAUGGGCGCAAGCCUGAUCCAGCCAUGCCGCGUGCGGGAAGAAGGCCUUCGGGUUGUAAACCGCUUUUGUCAGGGAAGAAAUCUUCUGGGUUAAUACCUCGGGAGGAUGACGGUACCUGAAGAAUAAGCACCGGCUAACUACGUGCCAGCAGCCGCGGUAAUACGUAGGGUGCAAGCGUUAAUCGGAAUUACUGGGCGUAAAGCGUGCGCAGGCGGCUGUGCAAGACAGGUGUGAAAUCCCCGGGCUUAACCUGGGAACUGCACUUGUGACUGCACAGCUGGAGUGCGGCAGAGGGGGAUGGAAUUCCGCGUGUAGCAGUGAAAUGCGUAGAUAUGCGGAGGAACACCGAUGGCGAAGGCAAUCCCCUGGGCCUGCACUGACGCUCAUGCACGAAAGCGUGGGGAGCAAACAGGAUUAGAUACCCUGGUAGUCCACGCCCUAAACGAUGUCAACUGGUUGUUGGGAAGGUUCCUUCUCAGUAACGUAGCUAACGCGUGAAGUUGACCGCCUGGGGAGUACGGCCGCAAGGUUGAAACUCAAAUGAAUUGACGG